CCGCUGCCGCCGUCUAGGGUUCAAGCUGGCAGAUCGUGCCACCGGCACCGCCAGCCAAGUUCGCCCGCGGCGAGGACAAGCCACGACUGUAUCCUGUGUCGGCGUUCCGCGUCAAAGAGAGAGCAGGUUAGGGAUUCAGAAGUCAGCACUGGCAUCUUGAAUACCUAAAGUUGUUUUCAUGACACGUGUUUCUAUUAUAUUAGUCAAAGAAUUAUUUUAUAAGUCCAAGCCGCUGGAAAUGGCUUAGUCAAACUCGAACGGGAAAUGGAUGAAUCAAAUACAAACUUUUUUGAAAGUUUGUCGCACAUGCCUUCUUGGAUAAUCCAGGAAGGUACCGUGAUGGUACACAAGUUGAUCGCUUCUUCUAGCCACUUGGACUAUAGUAAGUUUCUCUGACUUCUACUGCUCAAUGGAUGACCGCUCAUGUGCCUUCCUGGAUGAUGCCUCCAUGGGAUGAUGCACAUUAUAUAUGCACACAUUUGGUGCCUAGUGUUCUCGACUUCUUUGUGCCUCGUCAAGCCAACUGAGCGAGCUUUGGGAAUUGGGAUUGACAACAAUGACGACGAUACCACCAGUUGGCUCUCCGCUCUCGGCCUCUCCUGCUGCUCAAAGCAUCCCCGACCCUGGCCUUCCAACCGGUGUCGCUGCUCAAGGUACCGCCACCCCUGGCCCUUCCAGUGAUGGUGGUGUUGCUGCUGCUGAAAGCAAGCCCGAAGUCCCUGCCGAACGCCCUAUCAGCCACGAUUCAACUCCCAGGCCUCCCGUCUCCAACGCAUAAGUUCUUGUUCUGCCUCGGAACUCCUACCUAUUGUUGUGCUAGUUAAAGUAUAAUACGUUUGUUCCCUCUUGUUCAGUAUACCCUGUGAACCCAAAAUUGUAACUGGUGAAUUCGGUAACUGCUGCACUUGUUCUUAUAACUGAUGUUGUUGUAAGCAUGGAAAUAUGUCUUGAAUACACGCAUCUGAUCAAUGGUACUGGUACCUAUGGGUCUAGGCAGUGUGAUUCAGACACCCUCGGUGACAUCAUCCACCGGGAGUGCACGCGGAGUAAGAUCAAGUAGAAUUAUUCUCAGGCUUGUACUUGUUCUCUUUUUUCAAUGAAAUGAAGCGCAAGGCGCUCAUGUGUUUUCUUGAGCAAA